GGUUGGAAUUGAACAUCAAAUCUUGCAGGGCAAUUACAUGCAAAAGACAACCUUACCAUGAUGAAAGAAGCUGGUGGGGCUGGAGCUCUGCAGCCUAUCCCAGGCGACUUAGAGCACGAGGCGGGGUACAUCCUGGACAGGAUGCCAAUCCAUCUCGGGGCGCACACAUAUACGGCAAUUUCAAAACACCAAUAAGACUAAUUUGCAUGUCUUUGGAUUGUGGGAGGAAACCGGAGUGCGCGGAAGAAACCCACCAAGCAAUGCAAACUCCAUGCACACAGAGCCCGAGGAACCCUGGAGCCUAUUGUAAAGUAGAAGACUACAAAUGGGGCGGGGGGAGGUGUCACCCAGGAUGCCAAUCCAUCAAAUGGCGCACACUGGACCCAGAGGAAACCC